rnacentral:rRNA from 1 species
GACAGAGGAUGCAAGCGUUAUCCGGAAUGAUUGGGCGUAAAGCGUCUGUAGGUGGCUUUUUAAGUCUGCCGUCAAAUCCCAGGGCUUAACCCUGGACAGGCGGUGGAAACUACCAAGCUGGAGUACGGUAGGGGCAGGGGGAAUUUCCGGUGGAGCGGUGAAAUGCGUAGAGAUCGGAAAGAACACCAACGGCGAAGGCACUUUGCUGGACCGACACUGACACUGAGAGACGAGAGCUAGGGGAGCGAAUGGG